UACGGGGGGGGCAAGCGUUGUUCGGAAUUACUGGGCGUAAAGGGCGCGUAGGCGGCCUUCUAAGUCAGACGUGAAAUCCCCCGGCUUAACCCGGGAACUGCGUCUGAUACUGGGAGGCUUGAGUAUGGGAGAGGGAUGUAGAAUUCCAGGUGUAGCGGUGAAAUGCGUAGAUAUCUGGAGGAAUACCGGUGGCGAAGGCGGCAUCCUGGACCAUUACUGACGCUGAGGCGCGAAAGCUAGGGGAGCAAACGGG
rnacentral:rRNA from 1 species